GGCUCGUUAGUCUAGGGGUCUAGGACGUCUCCCUUUCACGGAGAAGAUCAGGGGUUCAAAUCCCCUACGGGCUA
rnacentral:tRNA from 1 species